UACGUAGGGUGCAAGCGUUAAUCGGAAUUACUGGGCGUAAAGCGUGCGCAGGCGGUUUCGUAAGUCUGUCGUGAAAUCCCCGGGCUCAACCUGGGAAUUGCGAUGGAGACUGCGAGGCUAGAGUUUGGCAGAGGGGGGUAGAAUUCCACGUGUAGCAGUGAAAUGCGUAGAGAUGUGGAGGAACACCGAUGGCGAAGGCAGCCCCCUGGGUCAAAACUGACGCUCAUGCACGAAAGCGUGGGGAGCAAACAGG
rnacentral:rRNA from 1 species